AUGAAUUAAUUGAAAUGUUGGGUACAUGUCAACAAAACAAUAUAUUUAAAAAAAAAAAACAAAAAAAAAAAACAAGUAUGCAAGAUCUAGAUGUGGUAUGGGUGCCAAUGAGACAACUCUCAAUCCAAGUCACAAUGUGUAAGAUGUAAACAAUUAUAAGUCAAAGUACAGCCUUCAACACAGAGUAUUAGCUCACAUCGAACAACAAGCCAUACAGGGUUCUCAAAUGACUAGUGUAAAACAAUUCAAACAGGAAAACCACCAAUCGAAUCUAUAUAGAAAACUAGAAACGAGAAAUACUUAUAAACCACAUUAAUAAACGGCAACCACUGAACGACAGGCUCAUGACUCAGGACAGGUUGCAAGCAAAUUAAAUGCAGUGGAUUUAUCAAUUUUAACAGGAGCCAACCUUCAACAUAAUCUGAAACAGUAGAAAAACGCAUAGAAAGACACA
rnacentral:lncRNA from 1 species